AUGGGCGUGCGGGCCUCGGCCUGGCGCCUUCUUUAAGUUAUUAGCGAGCCACAAAUGCCGGGAAGCUCCCUCCCGACCCGGAGCUUGAACUUGAACACUGCCCGGCCUUCGCACACGAUCACACCGCCACCUCCCGGCGCGGCCGAAGAACCCACGUAAUCGCUGUAAAUCACUUAAAAAGUAAAUGCUGGGAUUCAACUGGACCAUGCUGGGCAUGUGCCGUACCACUGAUCUGUACCCGCAGCCCUGCAAGGGCAUCUUUUCAGAAGAAAAGAGCCGGCCUCUCUUUCUCUCUUAGUUCUCAGACCCAGGGAAGAGCCAGAUGAUGCAUGACUGGGUGGAGACAGGGCUUUGCAUGAAUGCUGUCCCUGUUUCCUACAUUUGUGACAUCAGUGGCGAGACAAAGUGGCAGGUGGAAGUGGGAAGGAAUUCUGUUGCAGAUGUUGCUGGAUUCUGAGCCUUAGGGCCAACCCCACAGGUCCUCUCCUACCAACAAUGGCAGGGAUGGAAAAUACUAAGCAUGGAAUAAGGUGGAAUAAACUGAGGGCUUACCAGCUGGACAACAUACAAAACAAAAAAUCAGAUGGUGAUUGACUCAGAUUAGAACAUUUCUUAAAAUUAUUUAAGAGGACCAGUUUUACCUACUUUAUUACUUAAUGCCUACCCAGUACAAUACAGAUAGUUGGACCUGAGCUUGAAUGGUUUUUAACCCAUGGCUUUAAAAAAUGUGAUGGUUCCUACUUCAGUGCUCUCACUGUAGAAUUUACCUUUUUAUUGAUUACCCAUGGUGGACUUGCUGGAGAAAUUAUAUUUAUUAUGCUGUACAAAAUACUGUAUAUGUCUCAGCAGAUUGGUAGAUUGGGAAAUGGAAGAAGACAAAAAUUACAUUUAAUCUAUGCAUUUUUGCCAAGGCAUAAUGAGUUAUUUUACUACUAGAGACGUUAGGAGUUAACUGUAAAAAAAAAAAAGAAAAGAAAAGAAAAAAAAAAGAACCAGUUUAAAAGCAUUUUGUGGGGUACAUCAUUUCUGUAAUUGUA